rnacentral:rRNA from 1 species
CCUACGGGUGGCUGCAGUGAGGAAUAUUGGUCAAUGGGCGCAAGCCUGAACCAGCCAAGUCGCGUGAGGGAUGACGGUCCUAUGGAUUGUAAACCUCUUUUGUCGGGGAGCAAGGCCCGCCACGUGUGGCGGGAAGGAGAGUACCCGAAGAAAAAGCAUCGGCUAACUCCGUGCCAGCAGCCGCGGUAAUACGGAGGAUGCGAGCGUUAUCCGGAUUUAUUGGGUUUAAAGGGUGCGUAGGCGGAAGGUUAAGUCAGCGGUCAAAUGUCGGUGCUCAACACCGGCCUGCCGUUGAAACUGGUCUUCUUGAGUGAGCGAGAAGUAUGCGGAAUGCGUGGUGUAGCGGUGAAAUGCUUAGAGAUCAUACAGAACACCGAUUGCGAAGGCAGCUUACCAAGCUACUUCUGACGUUGAGGCACGAAAGCGUGGGGAGCAAACAGGAUUAGAUACCCUAGUAGUC